AUUUGCCUCAAUGGCUAAGUGGCUUAACCCUAACUAUGUCGUGGACACCCUUUGACGGAGUGACUUUAACAUAGUCAAAGAUCAAGGACCUAGCCAUAAGACAACUAUGAUGCCUCAGGUCAAAUGACUACUUUGCAUUAUCCCAACCAUGAGUUUUCAUGUGACAUGACUAUGAGAACUCCUUGUUGAUCGCAUUCAGUGAACUCAUUCUCUAUUGAACACCUACAUGCUUGUCUUGGUGUCAGUCACAACAAUGACUCGAGGCCAGUCACUCUCUCUAAGAGAAGACAUAGAACGUACUGAUCUUAACGUAUUGUCAAUGCCUAAUUGGCAAUCCUAUGAUCAGGAAAGUUUAGGAUAUGUAUACGAAAGAGAAUGGUCUCAUGAAUCUAAACAAUAAUUUUUGCCCUUUAUAUUAAACUAUAUUAGUUUAACAUGUGAAACGUCCGUAAAAUAUCAUCAUAUGAUUGGAUUUAGAGCACAUUUCCAACAUAAUGAUAUUAUAGGGUGUGCUAUACACACACCUUUUUUUACUUAUUACACACCUUCUUAAUUUGUAGUCGUCAAAUAAAUGAAUUAAAGAAUAUCAAAUGAUAGAAAUUAACAGACGUGUGUGAGAAGUAAAAAAGGGUAUGCAGAUCCACGACACUAUAAAAAAACACAAGAUUUGACACAAGUUUUAAACCAUUAGAUUAGUCCAAUUUUUAUGGUUGAGAUGCAAUCUGACAUAGCAUUUAAUUUGACAUAUAAUUCUUAAAACAAAUAUACAUUUAAAACAAAUAUACAUUAGAAAUAAAAAUUAAAAUCCAAAACUUUCUUAAUUAUGAAUUUAAUUAUCUCUCCUUGAUAGGAGCAUAUUUAAUGCGACUUAGUUGGCUUGUUCUUGUGCAUUUAUGUCGUGUUUCCUUAGUUAUUAUAAUGUUUAAAGUCAUUUUCAUGUGUUUUCAGAUUUUAAGGACAAAGUAGGCAAGAAGAUGCAUUUUGGAGCAUUUUGGAGCAAAAUGGAGCUUGGAAUGCAUGUCACAUAUUUGGAACCAAGGUUUGGACGAAAUUGAAGACUUAAAGAGGCUAAGAGUGUGAAGAAUUAGUGUACAAAGGAUCAUGAACUCAGCCACAAAAGAACACACAUCCUUGCCGUGCAAUCCACAUAGCAUUCCCUUUGGAUUCUCAUGCAUGCUUAAUCAUCCUUGUCCCCUAAAAUAUUUCUGAUUUCAUGCCUCAAUACACUCAAUUAUCGCACUCAAUUGCUGCAUACCUCUUGUUCCCUUCACCCAUCAGAUUUCACAACCAUUCCAU
rnacentral:lncRNA from 1 species